rnacentral:lncRNA from 1 species
UGGUAAGCCUGAAAUGGUACUUAAGAACUUUUUGGGUUUUUAUCACCUGUAUUUGAUGGUCCAAGUUUUGAAUUGAAUCCACCUUAUUCUAGAAAAAUAAUUUUCUCAUUCCUGAGCAACUGUGUAUGGACUUCAAAUCAUUUAAUUCUGAAGUAACAAAACACACUGUUUUCAAAUAGAUAUCAAAUGAUGCCUGAUGAUAUAUAUCAUCAUCAACCUAGCCAUGCAGAUAUGUAAAAAAGAAAUCACCAUAGAAGGGGAUUUGAAGAUCAAUAAACUCCUUGACAACAUUAGCCAAGAGCCAAGUGAUACUCCUCUGUGUUGGGGUAUAUGGUGCUCUUCAAGUAAAAAAAGAGCAAGGCCUCAGGGAGUAGACACCAAUGCUGUCAGAAAGAGUCAAACUGGCCUAUUAAAUUCCCAUCAAAUGAAAUAGGUUAGCAGGUGCCUCUGUACAUCCAUAUUCCAAUUACUUCAUUUUUCCUCUCCAAACAAUGGCAACAGAUGGAGUCCAGGGAGAAACCCUUAAUGACUAAAGAGUAGGAAAUUAACAAUCUUUGGGGGUCACAGAAUUAAAACCUCAAAGGCACAUUGUACUUAGCCAUAGAAUGAAUGAGCUGUAGUUAAACAGGUUGAUUGGAAUAAUGUGAAGAUAAUCUCACAAGUGGCCUUCUUAAUACCCAAUGGUUUAAAGUGGCAAUCUGCAGGGUGGUGUGAUGAAAAAUUAUUUGAUGGUACUAACUCUGACUCAGGUUUGGAGAAAGAAUCUUCAGUUCUAUGGGCCUCAGUUUGCCAGACUAUAAAGUAAAAAUGGCAAAGUCUUCUCAUUUAUUGUCCCUAUAAAGUAAGAAAGAAGACCUUUUCCAGACCUACUGAAUCAGCUUUGCAUGUAACCAAUUACCCUGAUGAUUCAUCUGCAUAGUUCCAUUUGAGAAACUUGCCUAGGCAGUUCCAGCCCACACUCCAUCCUCGCUCCUGUGAACACCUUGAGCAUUUAGGCUUGUAAAUCUUACCAUUGAAUUUCUUCCCAGUUUGAUCUUUUGCAACCUUGAAACCAUAGAUAUUUAGGCAGCAACUACACAUUCAAUGAUUUUUAUGUUAUAAGACCUUUUUAACUGUCUUUAUUUCACAUGGGUUUAUUAUGAUUAUGCAGGCUUCAAGCCACUGUGUGUACAAAAAACUGAGUAAUAUGUAAUUCCUACCCCCAAAGUGACUCAAGGGAUAGUAGAGAGAAAUUACUUGCUCACUUCCUUCUAUCCAUUGUUCAUUAUUUCCAAAACAUUAUUUUGCCCCAGACUCUUGAAUAGUUGUUGAGAAGAUGAAACCCCACCUGUGAUGAUAUCUCUCACUUUUGAACCUAUGGAAAUAUAUUUGAGCAUUUAAAAAGUAGCAUCAAUAAACAAUUUGGUAAUGCUAUACUCCAUUAGAUUGGGUGUGUAUUCAGAGAUUGUCUAAUUGGUAAAUGUCGGGAGUGCACAGAAAAGGCUACAGAAAGUAGUUAGGUUUGGAUUUGGAAGUUGACUAUGAACUCACAAGUAGAGAUCUCCCACAGAAGGGCUAGCAUGAGUACAUACAUAUUAAGUGCAUGGUUUUGUUUAGGAGACAUCAAGUCAUAAGCUGUAAAUAUGUCAUGAAGAUAUAUAUGGGUGCAUGCUAUGGGGCUCAAAUUACUAUGGGAGUCAUCUUAACAUACAUAACAUGUAUCAUGUGGAAAAUUUUCCCUACUUUCACUACACAACUGAAAGUUCUCAGUGGUUAUCUGAUAUAUUAACUCAGAAUGUAUCUGGUAAAACCUUCUUGGAUUGAUUUGGGAUAAAAUAAAACCCUCUUAAGAAUGGAAGCAAAGUAUCCUUUAAUUUGCUCUGGGUUCCAAAAUCUCAGUGAAAAUGGCUACUGUGAUCCAAGAGUGAAAUAUACCUGAUUGAAGAUACAGCCCUAUCUGACUGCCAAUCACAGCACAAUUUUAAAGGGUUGGUAAAAAAAAAUCUACCAAACUGCAACGCAAACUACUGUGCUUUACAAACCUAGACAGAGCAUCUGAUAUGAAUGGAUAAUCAUCAAAGGUCCCUACAUAGAUAGCAGGUGUGCAGGUGUUUGCAAAUGUGAGGUUCAAGUACAUGUGUUUGGCCUUGAGAUAAGCUUUCAGCUGAAAAAAUAAAGGCUCUGUGCUUUAGGGUUGGGACACUGAGUUUCUAAGCCUCUUCUACUUACUAGCAGCGUGCUUCGGGGCUGCCUGUGCAUGGGAGCUAAUGGCAAUAUAUCUUUUGAUUUUUAUCAUGAUUCCGUACUUGGAUGAAAACACUACAGUGGCUGCAGCUUUAAACUCCCACUAGAUAACUGCUGUGACUGUAUUUCACUAAGCAGCUUUUUAGGAUUGUUUUUAUGCCAAUUGGAUACAAGCUAGAGUCAUCUGAGAGAAAGGAACCACAAAUGAGAAAAUGAAUCCAAAAGAUCCUGUCACAGGUAGGUAAUAACAAUAAGCCACAUGGAAUCUUACUAUUACCUACUUAAAAACUUUAAUGCACAUAACUACGUAUAAACAUACAAAUAUCGUUUUAAUGAACUUUUUACAUCUGGGCUGACUGUGUUCCCUCCAAGAGCCAACGAAAUAUCACCUAACAAAACCCAAACUGCCACACAAAUUUGAAACCCUCUUGGUAUUUUUAGGCAGGAUUAUCCAAGAGACUCAAAACAUACAGCCUAUUGCUGUUGCCCAUGGUUACCAUUCAGAGGUGGAAGGUAAGUCCCUAUUGCUGAAGACAUCAUGUACUUUAGAAACAGGCCCUAGAGACCCCUGAGCUGCAACUAACCUGAAUUCUACCUCCCUGCCUAGCUUUCAUGGAAUGAGAAGGUGCCAUAUAUGCUUCCAAAAGAGAAAGGCAACCAACAGUCUUAUCCAGUUUUGGUGCCUAUGAACCACAUCAAAUAUCAGCAUGACACAAUAAUCCUAGAAAUGCAGUAAUUACUGACUAGCCUUGGUGGACUUAAAACCCACUCAACAGCAGGUAGACCAUGCCUCGUACUGGCUGAGUUAACUACUCAGUGCUAGUGUAGUCAUUAUUAUUAGAGAUAUAUACAACCACUAAUUUACUAAACCAGCAUGAUUCCUAUCAACAACUUAUAAGCAUCUGUCCUUAUGGCCACAGAUAAGUAUAGUCUUUACUUCUCAUCAAGGAGCUUCUCUUUGCAACAAACAAGGACCAUGACAGAAAGUCACAACCAAUCAAAAUGCAGAGUUGUGCAGCCCAGUCCUAAUGGCUACAUCUACAAAACACUCUUGCAUCAAAGCCUGGGUGUUUUUGGAAAGAGUAUAAGAGCCAGAGGAUCAGAGAGUUUGCUGUAAGACUAUGUCUCCUAGUAAUAUCAGAAGCAACACCUAUAAAGUCUCACAAACGUGACUGUCCAAUAUGAGCUGAACAAGGAUGAGACCAAUGAACAUGUUAGUCUGGGUGGAGAAAAUCCCAUGAGGCCUCAACUCUACACAAAAACUAUAGGCAACUGACAAAAGCUGUGAAUAGGAGAGGUCAUACUAAUUAGGGAAGAGCCCAACAAUUGGUUGUCUAGUGUCAAAGGAUCAGCACUGAAAACAUAAGUACAGGUAGCAUUAUUUAGGAAUGUAUAUGUAUAUACAUAUAUGCAUGUAAUUACAAUUACUAACAAAAAAGAGGCCAUAAAUUUAAAGGAGAAUGGAUAAGGGUAUAUUAGAAGACAUUGGAGGGAGAAAAGGAUAGAGAAAUGUUGCAAUCAAAUUAUAAUGUC